GAUGAACGCUGGCGGCGUGCCUAAUACAUGCAAGUCGAGCGAACAGACGAGGAGCUUGCUCCUCUGACGUUAGCGGCGGACGGGUGAGUAACACGUGGAUAACCUACCUAUAAGACUGGGAUAACUUCGGGAAACCGGAGCUAAUACCGGAUAACAUGUUGAACCGCAUGGUUCAACAGUGAAAGACGGUCUUGCUGUCGCUUAUAGAUGGAUCCGCGCCGCAUUAGCUAGUUGGUAAGGUAACGGCUUACCAAGGCAACGAUGCGUAGCCGACCUGAGAGGGUGAUCGGCCACACUGGAACUGAGACACGGUCCAGACUCCUACGGGAGGCAGCAGUAGGGAAUCUUCCGCAAUGGGCGAAAGCCUGACGGAGCAACGCCGCGUGAGUGAAGAAGGUCUUCGGAUCGUAAAACUCUGUUAUUAGGGAAGAACAAAUGUGUAAGUAACUAUGCACGUCUUGACGGUACCUAAUCAGAAAGCCACGGCUAGCUACGUG
rnacentral:rRNA from 1 species